UACUACGUUUGAUAGCCGAAUCCAGGUCUCAAAAUGAUGAUUAGAUUAGACUAACGUUAGAAGAUCUUUUCGAUUGAAACUCGAUCACUGAAAUUAGAUCUUACGUUGAGAUUAUAUUACACGUUACUAUUGCUAUCUCGUUCAUCAGAACAAAAUUUUACGCGUUCGAUCCUCAUUGUUUUUAUUACGAGUAUGACAUUCUUGUCGAGAUAUAAUUUCAAGUAUUUCGUCAUACGAAAGGUACAAUAAUCAUACAAUUCUGUCAAUUACGUUUUUUGUAUUGCAAUCGUGAACGAUGCUCGUAAACAUUUAGCGUUUUAGCCAAGAUAAAUUCGGUCUGCGGAAAUUUGAGAUAAUAUCGUAUUUACGUUGCAUAGUGCGUCGAAUCUGGAUCGAACGAUAACUCGUAAAUUAAGUCUAUUAUCUAAAGUUUAUGAGAAAAUAUAAAUCUAACCGGUAUAAUGCAAAAAUUAGUACCGAUAAAAUGCAACGGGCUAUUGCAGUAACCGACGACAAGAAUCGUCGACAGCCAAUCGAAAAGCACGUAGACUCGGGACUCUGCGAAUGUUCCAACUUUAGAUUCGGACGAUGUGGGAUCGAGAGAGAGAGAGAGAGAGAGAGAGAGAGAGAGAGAGAGAGAGAGAGAGAGAGGGGUGCAUUCAAUGUUAACGAGUUACAUUUGUUUAUCUGCUAGCACAUUUAGCUGCCUGCGAGAGUGGAAACAGUGUGUAGGCAUGUAAACGUGGUAAAGAUAUAAAUGUAUAUCUAUACAGUACGAAGGUGGUUGAUUCGAAUCAUACCUGUCUCCCUUGCAAAGACCAGAAUCUUCAACGGCCCAAUCGACAUAAAGGCCAGGCAUCUCGUCUCUUGGUCCAGCACCGAAACGAGGACUCUUUGGAUCGGCACUGACUUCGACGGCAUGUACGGUGACUUGCGUUGACCCGGAAAUACAGCUAAGAUGAUAGAUUUGUAAUAAGCAUGACAAAUAAAACUCGAAGUGGUCUAAA